rnacentral:rRNA from 1 species
UACGGAGGGGGCGAGCGUUAUUCGGAAUUAUUGGGCGUAAAGGGCGCGUAGGCGGCUUGACAAAUCAAAGGUGAAAUCCCUCGGCUCAACUGAGGAACUGCCUUUGAAACUGUCUGGCUUGAGGCCGGGAGGGGGUAGCGGAAUUCCCAGUGUAGCGGUGAAAUGCGUAGAUACUGGGAGGAACACCAGUGGCGAAGGCGGCUACCUGGACCGGUUCUGACGCUGAGGCGCGAAAGCGUGGGGAGCAAACAGG